rnacentral:rRNA from 1 species
UACAGAGGGCUCAAGCGUUGUUCGGAUUCAUUGGGCGUAAAGGGUGCGUAGGCGGCUCCAUAAGUCAGGUGUGAAAUCUCGGGGCUCAACUCCGAAACUGCACUUGAUACUGUGGUGCUCGAGUACUGGAGAGGAGAUUGGAAUUUACGGUGUAGCAGUGAAAUGCGUAGAUAUCGUAAGGAAGACCAGUGGCGAAGGCGAAUCUCUGGACAGUUACUGACACUGAGGCACGAAGGCCAGGGGAGCAAACGGG